rnacentral:rRNA from 1 species
GUGUCAGCCGCCGCGGUAAUACGUAGGGAGCAAGCGUUGUCCGGAUUUAUUGGGCGUAAAGCGCGCGUAGGCGGUUCGGUAAGUCGGGUGUGAAAACUCCAAGCUCAACUUGGAGCCUGCAUUCGAAACUGCUGUGACUAGAGUCAGGUAGGGGAACACGGAAUUCCAGGUGUAGCGGUGAAAUGCUUAGAUAUCUGGAGGAACACCAGUGGCGAAGGCGGUGUUCUGGGCCUGUACUGACGCUGAUGCGCGAAAGCGUGGGGAGCGAACAGGAUUAGAAACCCUCGUAGUCC